CCUACGGGGCGCAGCAGUGGGGAAUAUUGCGCAAUGGGCGAAAGCCUGACGCAGCGACGCCGCGUGAGGGAUGUAGGUCUUCGGAUCGUAAACCUCUGUCAGCAGGGAAGAACGGUCACUGUGCUAAUCAGCAGUGAAUUGACGGUACCUGCAAAGGAAGCACCGGCUAACUCCGUGCCAGCAGCCGCGGUAAUACGGAGGGUGCGAGCGUUAAUCGGAAUUACUGGGCGUAAAGCGCUCGUAGGCGGUAUGUCAAGUCAAGGGGGAAAUCCCCGCGCUCAACGUGGGAACUGCCUUUGAAACUGGCAAACUGGAGUGUGUGAGAGGAUAGUGGAAUUCCAGGUGUAGGAGUGAAAUCCGUAGAUAUCUGGAGGAACAUCAGUGGCGAAGGCGACUAUCUGGCACAUAACUGACGCUGAGGAGCGAAAGCGUGGGUAGCAAACAGGAUUAGAUACCCGGGUAGUC
rnacentral:rRNA from 1 species